GACGAACGCUGGCGGCGUGCCUAAUACAUGCAAGUUGAGCGCUGAAGGUUGGUACUUGUACCAACUGGAUGAGCAGCGAACGGGUGAGUAACGCGUGGGGAAUCUGCCUUUGAGCGGGGGACAACAUUUGGAAACGAAUGCUAAUACCGCAUAAAAACUUUAAACACAAGUUUUAAGUUUGAAAGAUGCAAUUGCAUCACUCAAAGAUGAUCCCGCGUUGUAUUAGCUAGUUGGUGAGGUAAAGGCUCACCAAGGCGAUGAUACAUAGCCGACCUGGGAGGGUGAUCGGCCACAUUGGGACUGGGACACGGCCCAAACUCCUUCGGGAGGCAGCAGUAGGGGAUCUUCGGCAAUGGACGAAAGGCUGACCGAGCAACGCCGCGUGAGUGAAGAAGGUUUUCGGAUCGUAAAACUCUGUUGGUAGAGAAGAACGUUGGUGAGAGUGGAAAGCUCAUCAAGUGACGGUAACUACCCAGAAAGGGACGGCUAACUACGUG
rnacentral:rRNA from 1 species